UACCAGACUCCUACGGGAGGCAGCAGUGGGGAAUAUUGCACAAUGGGGGAAACCCUGAUGCAGCAACGCCGCGUGAGUGAAGAAGCGUUUCGGCGCGUAAAGCUCUGUCAGCGGGGAAGAAAGAAGACGGUACCCGACCAAGAAGCCCCGGCUAACUACGUGCCAGCAGCCGCGGUAAUACGUAGGGGGCGAGCGUUAUCCGGAAUUACUGGGUGUAAAGGGAGCGUAGACGGCGAAGUAAGCCUGAAGUGGAAGCCCGCGGCCCAACCGCGGAACUGCUUUGGAAACUGUGUUGCUGGAGUGCAGGAGGGGUAAGCGGAAUUCCUAGUGUAGCGGUGAAAUGCGUAGAUAUUAGGAGGAACACCGGUGGCGAAGGCGGCUUACUGGACUGUAACUGACGUUGAGGCUCGAAGGCGUGGGGAGCAAACAGGAUUAGAUACCCUUGUAG
rnacentral:rRNA from 1 species